rnacentral:SRP_RNA from 1 species
GGAUGGACUAGGUCGGGCAGCUAGGCCCUGCUCGUCACCUGCAAUUUGGCCUUCAGCAGGGACCGAACCCGGGGGCGUCCGGUCAGACCGACGCGGGCCCCGGAAGCCAACGUAGAAACCUCGUCCUUCGGGGACGGCGGUUCGCGGUCGCCGGCCGCAGGGUCGGUCCGCCGCGAUUCGACGCCGGCAGCCCGUCAGGCGCGGAAGCGAGCAGCGGACCGGUGAACGUUCGUCGCUCGGAGGAUCGCGGGGUGGAGGAGGCGACCGGGAUUCCCCGUGCCGGAACGCCGGGCAAUCCCGCUGUCCACCA